UGGCAUUUCUAAGACAGGUCUGUGAUGAAAUGCUGUCCCAUCAUCGGCUCCUUCAAGCCUUACACUUUCUCCAGCUAAGAAAGACUGUGUUCAUGCAAACUAAGGAAAUUAUUCUAGGUGAAAGCAGAAAGUCUUCCGAGAGACGAGAGGCAGGACUGUAGCCGGAUUUUCUUCAGACCGAGACUUCCAGAGGCCUUUCACUAAAUGUCAGUGUGAAGCGGUAUAAAUUGAGAGAUCAUCAUUGAGAUGUUUCUACACCUUCUUUGGAGUCCACAUGUCGUCAAUCCAAUUGACUGGGAAGGCACACAACUGUCUAUUGAAGGUUUCACAGCUGACAAUGUGUAUCAGAGCAUCAAGCACGCCAUGAGGGUGAAGGAAUUGUAUAUGGAGCUUUGAGACAGGAUUGUAUUGAGGGACAAAACUUGGGAAGGCCAAAGAAAAUUCCUACAGCAUUGACAGUUCCCAAGAAAGCAGUUUCCUUCAUAAUUCUUAAAUGGGAGAAGUCUAAAAAACUACUGUGACCCCAUUUAGAGAUGGAUACCAGGAGCAAUGGAGGGAUAAAGGCCAUGGUGAGAGAGUUGACUAAGAACCCGAUAGUACCCCACUCUAGCUGAGCUCCAGAGAACGUGUAGGGAGCAGGGAGAAACUUCCAGAAGAAUAACCAUCACUGCAACACUUCACUGAUCUUGACUUUAUGACCGAGUUGCCACACAGAAACCUCUCAGAUAUGAAAGCUCAUUUUGAGUUUGGAAAAAGGCACCUGAAGAACUCUCGGACUGUAACAAACAACAUUCUCUGCUCUGAUGAAACCAAGAUUAGUGUCAUAUAUGGAGGAAACCAUGGUACCACUUAUCACCUGCACAAUACUAAUCGAAAAGUGAAGUAUGGUGGUGGUGGUGGGGUUGUUUUUCAGCGGCAUGUUCUAGUAGGCUACAUAAGGUUUGGAGAAACCUGAAUGAAGGGAAGUACAGAGAUACCCUCAAUGAAGACCUGCUCCAGAGUGCUCUGAACAUCAGCCUGGGAUGAAAGUUCACUUUCCAACAGGACAAUAAACCUAAACACAAAGCAAAGAUAACACAGGAGUCACUUAGGGAAUGUCCUGGAGGGGCUCAGCCACCAGAAUCCAGCCUUUUGAACCCAACUGAACAUCUCAGGAGGAGUGGAAAUGGCUGUCCACUGAUGGUCUCCAUCCAACCUUACAGAGAAUGAGAAGAUCCGCAGAGAAGAAUGGCAGAAAAUCCUCAAAUCUGAGUCCAAGCUUAUCAGGUCAGACACAAGAAGACUCUCAAGCUGUAAUCACUGCCAAAAGGACUUCAUCGAAAUAGAACCCCAUUUUAUUGAUGGAACUGUUGAUGGGCCUUAAAGUCACAAGCGUCCUUCUAAAUUACAUUUUUGAGAUGCCAUGUAGCCUAGAUGUUAAGCUGGUUCAGCUUUAUUAUACAUGGAGAAUUUAAUUAGGAUUGACUUGGCUGUUUUGGACUAGUGGGUUGCACAAUUAGGGCACCCCUCCACUUUUGAAAAUAAUUUUUAAAACACCAUUUAGCCAACGUUUUAGGUUAGACCAAUGACUACCCACAAACAAAAUGUCAUGAAAAUUGGUGCAGCCAUUUUUAUGUGAUUGGAUCACGAUAAAGUCAGGCAACGCACCUCACUCAAUUUUGCUGAAUCGCAGAGCAGCCUUCCUCUUUGCUGCGUCCCUGAAAUGCCAUCUCACAGCAGUUUGGGAACCCCUGCAUUUUUAUAUAAUUAAAGUAUCUGUGUAAAAAUUCACUCUUUUAAACAUUAAAGAAAAGACCUUA